UUUCCGUAGGUGAACCUACGGAAGGAUCAUUACUGAGUGAGGGCCCUCUGGGUCCAACCUCCCACCCGUGUUUAUUAUACCUUGUUGCUUCGGUGAGCCCGCCUCACGGCCGCCGGGGGGCAUCUGCCCCCGGGCCCGCGCCCACCGAAGACACCUAGAACUCUGUAUGAAGAUUGCAGUCUGAGCAAAAACUAAAUAAGUUAAAACUUUCAACAACGGAUCUCUUGGUUCCGGCAUCGAUGAAGAACGCAGG
rnacentral:misc_RNA from 1 species